GGGGUUGUGGCUCAGCGGUAGAGUGCUCGCAUAGCAUGUGUGAGACCCUGGGUUCGAUCCGCAGCACCACA
rnacentral:tRNA from 1 species